AGCGUACACGGUGGAUGCCCUGGCAGUCAGAGGCGAUGAAGGACGUGCUAAUCUGCGAUAAGCGUCGGUAAGGUGAUAUGAACCGUUAUAACCGGCGAUUUCCGAAUGGGGAAACCCAGUGUGUUUCGACACACUAUCAUUAACUGAAUCCAUAGGUUAAUGAGGCGAACCGGGGGAACUGAAACAUCUAAGUACCCCGAGGAAAAGAAAUCAACCGAGAUUCCCCCAGUAGCGGCGAGCGAACGGGGAGCAGCCCAGAGCCUGAAUCAGUGUGUGUGUUAGUGGAAGCGUCUGGAAAGGCGCGCGAUACAGGGUGACAGCCCCGUACACAAAAAUGCACAUGCUGUGAGCUCGAUGAGUAGGGCGGGACACGUGGUAUCCUGUCUGAAUAUGGGGGGACCAUCCUCCAAGGCUAAAUACUCCUGACUGACCGAUAGUGAACCAGUACCGUGAGGGAAAGGCGAAAAGAACCCCGGCGAGGGGAGUGAAAAAGAACCUGAAACCGUGUACGUACAAGCAGUGGGAGCACGCUUCGGCGUGUGACUGCGUACCUUUUGUAUAAUGGGUCAGCGACUUAUAUUCUGUAGCAAGGUUAACCGAAUAGGGGAGCCGAAGGGAAACCGAGUCUUAACUGGGCGUUAAGUUGCAGGGUAUAGACCCGAAACCCGGUGAUCUAGCCAUGGGCAGGUUGAAGGUUGGGUAACACUAACUGGAGGACCGAACCGACUAAUGUUGAAAAAUUAGCGGAUGACUUGUGGCUGGGGGUGAAAGGCCAAUCAAACCGGGAGAUAGCUGGUUCUCCCCGAAAGCUAUUUAGGUAGCGCCUCGUGAAUUCAUCUCCGGGGGUAGAGCACUGUUUCGGCAAGGGGGUCAUCCCGACUUACCAACCCGAUGCAAACUGCGAAUACCGGAGAAUGUUAUCACGGGAGACACACGGCGGGUGCUAACGUCCGUCGUGAAGAGGGAAACAACCCAGACCGCCAGCUAAGGUCCCAAAGUCAUGGUUAAGUGGGAAACGAUGUGGGAAGGCCCAGACAGCCAGGAUGUUGGCUUAGAAGCAGCCAUCAUUUAAAGAAAGCGUAAUAGCUCACUGGUCGAGUCGGCCUGCGCGGAAGAUGUAACGGGGCUAAACCAUGCACCGAAGCUGCGGCAGCGACGCUGAUGCGUUGUUGGGUAGGGGAGCGUUCUGUAAGCCUGUGAAGGUGUGCUGUGAGGCAUGCUGGAGGUAUCAGAAGUGCGAAUGCUGACAUAAGUAACGAUAAAGCGGGUGAAAAGCCCGCUCGCCGGAAGACCAAGGGUUCCUGUCCAACGUUAAUCGGGGCAGGGUGAGUCGACCCCUAAGGCGAGGCCGAAAGGCGUAGUCGAUGGGAAACAGGUUAAUAUUCCUGUACUUGGUGUUACUGCGAAGGGGGGACGGAGAAGGCUAUGUUGGCCGGGCGACGGUUGUCCCGGUUUAAGCGUGUAGGCUGGUUUUCCAGGCAAAUCCGGAAAAUCAAGGCUGAGGCGUGAUGACGAGGCACUACGGUGCUGAAGCAACAAAUGCCCUGCUUCCAGGAAAAGCCUCUAAGCAUCAGGUAACAUCAAAUCGUACCCCAAACCGACACAGGUGGUCAGGUAGAGAAUACCAAGGCGCUUGAGAGAACUCGGGUGAAGGAACUAGGCAAAAUGGUGCCGUAACUUCGGGAGAAGGCACGCUGAUAUGUAGGUGAAGUCCCUCGCGGAUGGAGCUGAAAUCAGUCGAAGAUACCAGCUGGCUGCAACUGUUUAUUAAAAACACAGCACUGUGCAAACACGAAAGUGGACGUAUACGGUGUGACGCCUGCCCGGUGCCGGAAGGUUAAUUGAUGGGGUCAGCGCAAGCGAAGCUCUUGAUCGAAGCCCCGGUAAACGGCGGCCGUAACUAUAACGGUCCUAAGGUAGCGAAAUUCCUUGUCGGGUAAGUUCCGACCUGCACGAAUGGCGUAAUGAUGGCCAGGCUGUCUCCACCCGAGACUCAGUGAAAUUGAACUCGCUGUGAAGAUGCAGUGUACCCGCGGCAAGACGGAAAGACCCCGUGAACCUUUACUAUAGCUUGACACUGAACAUUGAGCCUUGAUGUGUAGGAUAGGUGGGAGGCUUUGAAGUGUGGACGCCAGUCUGCAUGGAGCCGACCUUGAAAUACCACCCUUUAAUGUUUGAUGUUCUAACGUUGACCCGUAAUCCGGGUUGCGGACAGUGUCUGGUGGGUAGUUUGACUGGGGCGGUCUCCUCCUAAAGAGUAACGGAGGAGCACGAAGGUUGGCUAAUCCUGGUCGGACAUCAGGAGGUUAGUGCAAUGGCAUAAGCCAGCUUGACUGCGAGCGUGACGGCGCGAGCAGGUGCGAAAGCAGGUCAUAGUGAUCCGGUGGUUCUGAAUGGAAGGGCCAUCGCUCAACGGAUAAAAGGUACUCCGGGGAUAACAGGCUGAUACCGCCCAAGAGUUCAUAUCGACGGCGGUGUUUGGCACCUCGAUGUCGGCUCAUCACAUCCUGGGGCUGAAGUAGGUCCCAAGGGUAUGGCUGUUCGCCAUUUAAAGUGGUACGCGAGCUGGGUUUAGAACGUCGUGAGACAGUUCGGUCCCUAUCUGCCGUGGGCGCUGGAGAACUGAGGGGGGCUGCUCCUAGUACGAGAGGACCGGAGUGGACGCAUCACUGGUGUUCGGGUUGUCAUGCCAAUGGCACUGCCCGGUAGCUAAAUGCGGAAGAGAUAAGUGCUGAAAGCAUCUAAGCACGAAACUUGCCCCGAGAUGAGUUCUCCCUGACUCCUUGA
rnacentral:rRNA from 1 species